AGUGAACGCUGGCAGUAGGCCUAACACAUGCAAGUCGAACGGCAGCACAGUAAGAGCUUGCUCUUACGGGUGGCGAGUGGCGGACGGGUGAGGAAUACAUCGGAAUCUACUUUUUCGUGGGGGAUAACGUAGGGAAACUUACGCUAAUACCGCAUACGACCUACGGGUGAAAGCAGGGGAUCUUCGGACCUUGCGCGAUUGAAUGAGCCGAUGUCGGAUUAGCUAGUUGGCGGGGUAAAGGCCCACCAAGGCGACGAUCCGUAGCUGGUCUGAGAGGAUGAUCAGCCACACUGGAACUGAGACACGGUCCAGACCCCUACGGGAGGCAGCAGUGGGGAAUAUUGGACAAUGGGCGCAAGCCUGAUCCAGCCAUACCGCGUGGGUGAAGAAGGCCUUCGGGUUGUAAAGCCCUUUUGUUGGGAAAGAAAAGCAGCAGGUUAAUACCCCGCUGUUCUGACGGUACCCAAAGAAUAAGCACCGGCUAACUUCGUG
rnacentral:rRNA from 1 species